UUGGUCAGUAUUAUACAAUUAAGAUACCUUUUUCUCAAAACAAAAGGAAGUUUAUGGUCAGGGCACAUGAACAACUGUCCCCAGUGUAGUAGUGAGACUUGUUCAAAGGGGGCAAGAAUAGUAAUACAGGAAAGCAGCACUUGCAUGAUUACAGCUACUGGCCUUCUCCUAUAAGGCUCUUCCAUUCCAGAGACUCAGAUAUUACAUUUUUUGCUAUGGGCCUUCAAAUGACUGGAAAAUGGAGGGAACUUUUUCUGCAUUUUUUUAAUCCAUUCUAGAGUCUCUCUAAUAAUAAUAAUAAGUUGUUUGGAUGGUUUUGGCAUUGAAAAUUACUUAUUACCAUAAUAAAGUAUGUAUAACACCUUGUUACAUAGCGUUAGCUAAUUGAGUAAAAAAGGAAAUAGCUAUUGAACAGGAAUGUAACAGUGACUUAGCAGUUAAGGUUAUGAUAGGAUGACUGCACAGUAAAUUCAAAUUAUAGAACUGUCCAAAAGACACUAUAAGCACAUGAUCAACACUUUUAUACUUUAUAUACUGUAAAGUUUGGCCAUAUGUGGGCCAAAAUUAACCUCACUUUUAAGUCACCCUUAACUUGUGAUUUAAGGAAACUCUUGCCUGCGGUUUACAUGGGUUGAUUCAUCUACCCAAAUCUAGCAAAAAACCUAGUGUUCAGAAGUGUCUUUGCAUGGACCAUGAUAGUGCAGCUUGUCUGUGUGUACAGUACCUAGGAAAUAGUUUUACACAAUGCUAUAAUGAAAGAAUGGAAGUAUGGCCCAUCAGAGUAGCAUUUUAGACUGUAAAAGUGUUGAUGUGGACUCUCAAAAAGGUUGUUUGUGGCUCUGUGGACUGACAAUGGUGCAAAGGACUAUCUGACUGUAAUAUGUUUGUAUGUACCAUGAAGCUGGAACAGUGAAUAGUCAGAGUAAUGUUUUAUGCUAUCAAAAUAUCACUGUGGACUGUGAGAGUACAAUUCAUAGACCAUUAGAGUAACACUGUGAACUAUCAGAGUGGUUUUGUGGCGCAUCAGUCCGACAAUAGAGACUAUCAAAUUGGCAGUUUGGGCAAUGUGAGUACAGUUUCAGACCUGUGAUGGUUCUGUGAAUCAUUAGAGCAAUAUGGACCAUAACAGUGGUAGUAGGACCAUGGGAAUGGUUUUAGGGAGCAUCAGUCAAGUGUAGUGGAUUGGAUUACUAUAUCAGAUUGGAGAUACGAUAUAGAAUUGGUAAAGAGGCCAGUCAGGAUAAGAUUUGGACCAUUUCAGUUGUGCAGUGGACCAAGAGAAGGGGAAAAUGCACCAUGAGAGUGGUAACAGGAUGUACUCGGACCCAUUGGUGUAUUAUUGUGGAUCACCGAAUAGAUGUUGCAGAGCACCAGGGUGAAGAUACAAACCAUGGGCUUGUGAAUAUCAGAGUUGCAGUGUCGACUAUGAAAUUGGUAAUAUAGACUAUUACAGUGCCACUGAAGGCAGUGUAACAUUUUAGACAAUCUAAAAAUAAAUGCAAAGAAACAAAUAUUUUAAAUGUGUUAAAAAACUAAUAUUAGACAAAUAUUCUUAGACAUUUAAUUCAAAGACAGGUUCAAAUUGUUGUGACCAUGUAGUGUUGGGUAUAGUAUGGCAGUCGAUGGCACAUUUCCCAAUUGCACGAAAAUGCCAUAGCCACCUAAGGGAGUCCAAAGCAGCAAAACUGGUUGUGAUUUCAGAAACGGAGGGGGUCGUGCUCACUCUCUCCCCUAACAAUCAGAACCGAUAAUAGAGGUAUCUAUGUGAAUAAGAUAGAUAGUGUUGCAUGAGCAGCAUUUUAAAAAUAUGGGGUCAGAUUUGAUAGCCUUUGCUCUCCCUGGUUGGUAAGUGUCUUGUAACAAGACUAAAUUAGGUAGAAGAUCAGGAAUAAUCUACGGUAAGGAAACUAACAUUGGGGUGAACAGGGAGAACUUGUCUCUACUUGUUAUUUUGACCUUAAUUAAACUUUGUAAAAGGGAUUUUAAUUAUUGUAGGGUGAACAAGCUCACUGAAUAUCAGAUAUCGUGCUUUAUAGGUCAUAGUGUGUAUGAAUCUGCAUGCAGGUCAUGCUAGUAAUCUGGGACAAAAUAAUUCAUAGACAUAGAAGCAAAGUGAGCAUUGGCAUGCAACAAAUGAUGAAUCCAGCAGGGGCUUCUGCAGGCUCGAGUUGCUGCUGUGGCACUGUGGCAUCGCCUGCGGCUGGCAACCUCCAGCUGAGGCCAUGCUCAGACGUCUGCCUCAUUAACUCAUAAAGGGCAGACAGGAGCAAAGCCAAUUAAACCUGCUGCGCUUUGGGAGGUAUAGACCCAACAAGCUGGCGGAUGCCACUCUGACAUCAACAUGCCAUUUGCCAUCACAUGGAAAUGUCAUAUCAUUAAAUAAUAAGUCUAACCAACGAGGCCAGAUGCACCUAGACACAUUUACAUGCAUUAAGUUCCUUACUCUUUUCACAAAAAUCUAUCAAUAUUUAUCAGCGUGUACUGCUAAUAGAGAGUUUAUAUCCUUUUACUGUAUAUCAAUAUGCAGUUAUGUUUAUUCAUGUGGAACAUCAGAUGAACAAGUUCAUGUUAUCAGGUGUUUAAACAGCUUAAUAACAUGUAUUUACAGAAUGUGGCAGAUGUCCUUAUUUUGAGCAAUUUACAAUUAUCUCAUUUCUAUUUAAACUGAGCAUAUUGAGGGUUGUCAGCCUUGCUCAAGGCCCAGCAGUGAACAUCAUUGAACUCACCUUUCAAUACAAAAUUUGAUCCAAAAUGUAUCUCUCAAACGACUUCAAGAAUAAAGAAGGGUACCUGAAGGUAGUCACUUAUAUAUAUAUAUAUAUAUAUAUAUAUAUGAGGGUAUAAUGUAUGUAUUUUCAUAUGUCUUUUCAGGACAUUUCUCACUCUUUUUAUGCUGUUGUCUAUGUCUGCCUCUCUGACAUGCCUUAUAAAACACCAAUGUCUUUGCAACUCUGGAUGUCCCAAUGAAUUGACCUUUCCCUUUGAGGAGAAACCUGCCCUAGAGAAGACCCAUCUGGAAUAAAAAGGCACCCUGAAACCAUAUUUGAAAAGGUAGGCGACACACACUAAUUCAGCUGGAAACAUGAUGUGAAAGAACACAGGAUUCAUCAGACCAGUCCACCUUUUUUCCAUUGUUCUAUGAUCCAGUUGCAGUGGUGGUGGGAGACUCCAUAUUAGACUCUGCAAACUCUGAUCUAUCAGUGAUCACAAAGACAACCUCUGCUGUGAAACCUUGAAGAAUGAAAACGCCUCAAAGAUUUUCUGCCAAAAUCCAGAACCAAACAUCCAACAGAAACCAAUAUAACAUCUGUACAGUAUGUGCUUCUACAUCUUGGCAGUACAAUAUGCAUAUCAACCGAGGACAAUAACACAAGUUUAUGGACUUUCAUGAUCGAUACGCAUUAUCAAGCAUGACUGGAAUCCCAUGAAGGGCAUUUUGUCUGAAGUUAUUCAGAUGAAAGGGCAUGGCACUGAAACAAGGAUCAACUGAAGCAGUAUCCUUUUAGUGUGGACCUGCAGCUGGGUACAACCUUCUAGCCUUAAAAUGGUUUUAAACCUAUUUUAGUUUUCUCAAAAGUGUCUCCCAGUGGGACUAGGUGAUAAAAGCAUUGCUCCCCAUUGCUCUGAGGGCUUUAUGCCACUUCUUCUCAUCUUUGCCUUAUGAACUACCCACAAAAGACCUACAGAACUGCACACUGGGAGAUUCAAGUGCUGAGAAACAUUUCCUUCUGUUUCCUGCUGAUUGCUGACUGUUGUUUCUACAGGUUCUUGCAUACUGCUGUGCAGGGAAAUGUUUUCUAUUUAGUAGCGAGCAUGGUGUCGUUGCAAGUUGCACUGCAAGGUCCCUGGUUCGAUCCAGAGCAUGGGAUACACUGGGUAUGGAAUUGUUAUGCAUGUUCUGUGUCGUCUGGGUUCCAAAUUCUUUUUGGCAUUAAGUGUUUCCCAAACUGGUUUCAAAUCUACCAUGAUGCCACCUUAGUAUUUCCUAAAGAUGCAUAGAAAAAAAAGUUUUUUAAAUAAAUGAUGUUAAUUAAGGGGAAUUGUUUAUUUAUUUAUUUAUAUAUAUAUAUUUUUUACAUAACCAAAUUAUUCGGCUGAUCCUUUUAUCCAAAGCAACUUACAACUGAAAGAUUGUACAUCUGAGAAGUUUGAAUUUAAAUGUCUAGCUCAACCUUUCAAAAAUAGUAUCUUGGUAGUGGAAUUUGAGUUCAGGAUCUUCCUAUCAGCAACCACUGGCAUUAUUGUAACUCUUUCCAAAACAAUAUUCAAUCCAUCAUUAUGUAAAUAUGUCAUGAUUGUUGAUUCCUCUUUCCAUUCAUACCAUGUUUAACAACUUUACACAUUUCUUUCGGCUUCUCCUAUUAGGGGUCACCACAGCGGAUCCUCCGCAUGUUUGAUUUGGCACAUGUUUUUACGCUGGAUGCCCUUCCUAACACAACCCUCCAGAAUUUAUACGGGCUUGGGGCCGCCACUAAAAGUGGCUGGGGUUGGUUCCCUGACCGGGGAUCGAACCCGGGCCGCAGCGUUACACUAAUGGUUUUUUUACUUUUCUUUUUUUAACUUAUAUAGUGUAUUGGUUGAGGUCGUUCCAACGAUAAAAAAAAAGGCUGUUUGGUUUGCAAAGAGGUCAAAGCCCAAGGUCAAGAAAAGUUCUCCUGCUUUCUCACAGUUUGAGCUUAAAAUAACUAGAUUCACUAGACUCAAAGGCUCAGUGUGUACCUUCUGACUUCUAAAAGAAGGAAGAGCUAUAGAGUUUUUUCCAAACUUUUAAGGAUCAUUAAGGUUCUCAUAAGUGAAUAUCGUUCAGUGGGUUCAGGUCCCUGUUACAGCAAGGGGCAGAAUCUAUUUUACUGUAAUUAGGGCUUGUUUUAAUCAAAUUGCACAACAGAUUUUAAUUUGAAUACUCCACUAAGUAUAAAAGUCAGUUUAAACUGUCAAAUUCAUAUUAAUUAAUUAAUCAAUUCAUUCAUUUAUUCAUUUAUACAUACAUUCUUCAGUAGUCGUUUAAUCCUGCUAUGAGUUAAGACAGCUCUAAAGCCUUACAUAUGCACACAUUCCCUAAUUAAUUCACACUUCAGGGCAUGUUGUAUACAAUGUGUGAAAGACUAAAUGACAAAUGGGAUGACAAAACUGAAAAUGGAAAAGCAAAUUCUUGACAGUUUAGGACAAGUGCAAAAAUAAACAUUUUUUGAUGACUCAAGAGUGAUACAGAAAGUGCUUCAGGAGAGGAAAUAAUCUACUAUUUGGAAGCAAGUUAAAUAUCGCUGCUGCCUGAGAAGAAGAAGAAUAUCUAACAUAACAGUAACAAGUACCCAGUUCUUAAAAAGAAGUGCUGGAAAAAAAUUGCACAAAAGAUUAUAUAAAUAAACUUGCAUAACAGUAAAAUAAUGCCAUUCAAAUGACAGUCAACCGCUUGAUAUAACGAGGAAACAUUUGCAAUGAAAAGUAUAUGUAUAUAGUAUACACAAAGAGAAAGCUUUAGAAAGCUAUUUUCAGGUGCACGCGAGUUGUGUCCUCAGGCAUUUCUUGAAAGUAUUGAGCAAAUUUGCAUAACUAACAAAGUGACAAGGAAGUGGUGUUAGACUGACAAUGGCAAGUCAAACUCUAUUAAAUGACACAAAGAGAGAAGCAGAUGCAAAAAUUAAUCCAUUACUUGUCAGUAACAAGUGUACUGAUCAGUAUCAAGUGAAUUUAUCAUGAGCAUAGUCCAAAUAAUUUUAAUAAGAGUCAAGCUGUGCAUUUCUUACACAGGUCCUCCAGUGGCGUCCUACCUAAACCAAUCCACCUCUUAAAACAAUCAUACAUCAUUUCUAGCAGAAGCCUUAAUAUUAACCUCAGAAUUUAACCACAUGUUUUCUGUGCAUUUUUGUUCAUUUUUUCUGUGCAUUACGGCUUUGUUGGGAGGUUUGAAAUUAAAGCAAAUUGUAUGCUUUUGUGCAAAUUCUAUGGGAAAGAAAAACACAAAAGUACGGAUGGUUCAUGAAAAAGCUUAACGACUGCUUUGGACCAUUUUUGCUGACCUUUCCUCAGAAUGUCCAGCUUUUUUUGUAAAUGUCCUUGUAAGUGUGUCUGCAACCAAAUCAUUUUUUUGUAGGACAAAAAAUCCACAUAAAUAUUUGUUGACUUUUUUUUAAGUCUACAGUCUCCUGCCUCAAUGACUAUUUUCCUGUCACACUUACUGUAAACCCAUCAUAAUGAAGUGCUUCAGGAGGCUCAUCUUGAAGCACUUCAAGACCCAGCUUCCACCUUCACUGGACCCUAUGCAGUUUGCAUAUCGUCCAAAUUGUUCCACGGACAUCUCGUCCUCACCCACCUGGAAAACAAGGACCCAUACUUACGAAUGCUGUUCAUAGACUUCAGUUCAGCAUUCAAAAUAAUUAUUCCUGAUUUAGAAGCUGAGUCUACUGCCCCUGAACACCUCCCUCUGCAACUGGAUCCUGUACUUUCUAACUGGAAGACCUAAGACAGUCUGGAUUGGGAACAACAGCACCACCACACUAAGCACUGGGGCCCCUCAGGGUGGUGUGCUUAGCCCAUUGCUGUUCACACUGCUGACUCAUGACUGUGUAGCAAUACACAACUUGAAUAACACCAUCAAGUUUGCCGAUGAUACAACUGUUGUGGGUCUCAUCAGCAAGAACUUCACCUGCUCCAUCACUGAGAAAGCCCAGCAGCAUCUCUACUUCCUGAGAAGGCUGGGGAAAGUCCAUUUACAUUUACA